AUUGAACGCUGGCGGCAGGCCUAACACAUGCAAGUCGAACGCGUGGCGGACGGGUGGGUAAUGUCUGGGAAACUGCCUGAUGGAGGGGGAUAACUACUGGAAACGGUAGCUAAUACCGCAUACCAUCGGAUGUGCCCAGAUGGGCGUAGCUAGUAGGUGGGGUAACGGGUAACCUAGGCGACUAUCCCUAGCUGGUCUGAGAGGAUGACCAGCAACACUGGAACUGCGACACGGUCCAGAUUCCUACGGGAGGCAGCAGUGGGGAAUAUUGCACAAUGGGCGCAAGCCUGAUGCAGCCAUGCCGCUUGUAUGAAGAAGGCCUUCGGGUUGUAAAGUACUUUCAGCGGGGAGGCGUUACCCGCAGAAGAAGCACCGGCUAACUCCGUGCCAGCCGCCGCGGUAAUAC
rnacentral:rRNA from 1 species